CUCUCUGUCUAGUGUUCAUAUUUAAGUUAGUAUAUAUUUUGUUGGCUACAUAGCAAGGUAACUUUACUGUUAAUAAGUAUACCUUAGUUUGUCAGUGUAGCAUUAAUAUUAUAAUAAUAUUAUAAUCAUGAUUAAUGUUUACUGUUUUGAUCUUACAGGGACUGAUGAACACACUCGGCUCCUUAUCCAGUGGAGAGUGGCUAAUGAAGCCCUCAUUACUGGAAAGCGUAAUGCUGCCAUCAAAGGUUUUGAAGCAGAAGCUUGAGGGCAAAAUUUCUGCUGCUCAAGUCAAAAGAAAAUGGGAAAACCUAAAACAAAAAUAUAAAGAUCUUAAAUGUCCACAGACUGGUGUGAGCACCGAGGAUGGGGAGGUUACAGCAGCGUCUUGGAAGUGGUAUUCUGUCUCGGAUGAGGCAAUAGGGGGCAGACCCUCCAUCACACACCACCCAACCUUAUUGCCU